rnacentral:rRNA from 1 species
AGAGUUUGAUCAUGGCUCAGGACGAACGCUGGCGGCGUGCUUAACACAUGCAAGUCGAACGGAAAGGCCCCUUCGGGGGUACUCGAGUGGCGAACGGGUGAGUAACACGUGGGUGAUCUGCCCUGCACUUUGGGAUAAGCCUGGGAAACUGGGUCUAAUACCGAAUAGGACCGCGCGCUUCAUGGUGUGUGGUGGAAAGCUUUUGCGGUGUGGGAUGGGCCCGCGGCCUAUCAGCUUGUUGGUGGGGUAAUGGCCUACCAAGGCGACGACGGGUAGCCGGCCUGAGAGGGUGACCGGCCACACUGGGACUGAGAUACGGCCCAGACUCCUACGGGAGGCAGCAGUGGGGAAUAUUGCACAAUGGGCGCAAGCCUGAUGCAGCGACGCCGCGUGAGGGAUGACGGCCUUCGGGUUGUAAACCUCUUUCACCAGGGACGAAGCGCAAGUGACGGUACCUGGAGAAGAAGCACCGGCCAACUACGUGCCUGCAGCCGCGGUAAUACGUAGGGUGCGAGCGUUGUCCGGAAUUACUGGGCGUAAAGAGCUCGUAGGUGGUUUGUCGCGUUGUUCGUGAAAACUCACAGCUUAACUGUGGGCGUGCGGGCGAUACGGGCAGACUAGAGUACUGCAGGGGAGACUGGAAUUCCUGGUGUAGCGGUGGAAUGCGCAGAUAUCAGGAGGAGCACCGGUGGCGAAGGCGGGUCUCUGGGCAGUAACUGACGCUGAGGAGCGAAAGCGUGGGGAGCGAACAGGAUUAGAUACCCUGGUAGUCCAA